AGAAUCAACGCUGGCGGCGUGCCUAACACAUGCAAGUCGCACGAGAAAGGGUAGCAAUACCUGAGUAAAGUGGCGCACGGGUGAGUAACACGUGAAUUAUCUACCUCCGAGUGGGGGAUAACUGAGAGAAAUCUUAGCUAAUACCGCAUAACACUUACGAGUCAAAGCAGCAAUGCGCUUGGAGAGGAGUUCGCGGCCGAUUAGUUAGUUGGCGGGGUAAUGGCCCACCAAGACGAUGAUCGGUAUCCGGCCUGAGAGGGCGCACGGACACACUGGAACUGAAACACGGUCCAGACUCCUACGGGAGGUAGCAGUGGGGAAUUUUGCGCAAUGGGGGAAACCCUGACGCAGCAACGCCACGUGGAGGAUGAAAUAUCUUGGUAUGUAAACUCCUUUCGAUGGGGAAGAUUAUGACGGUACCCAUAGAAGAAGCCCCGGCUAACUUCGUGCCAGCAGCCGC
rnacentral:rRNA from 1 species